AGAGUUUGAUCCUGGCUCAGGAUGAACGCUAGCGACAGGCCUAACACAUGCAAGUCGAGGGGCAGCGAAGAGGUAGCAAUACCUUUGUCGGCGACCGGCGCACGGGUGAGUAACACGUAUGCAAUCCACCUGUAACAGGGGGAUAACCCGGAGAAAUCCGGACUAAUACCCCAUAAUAUGGGCGCUCCGCAUGGAGAGCCCAUUAAAGAGAGCAAUUUUGGUUACAGACGAGCAUGCGCUCCAUUAGCCAGUUGGCGGGGUAACGGCCCACCAAAGCGACGAUGGAUAGGGGUUCUGAGAGGAAGGUCCCCCACAUUGGAACUGAGACACGGUCCAAACUCCUACGGGAGGCAGCAGUGAGGAAUAUUGGUCAAUGGACGAGAGUCUGAACCAGCCAAGUAGCGUGAAGGAUGAAGGUCCUACGGAUUGUAAACUUCUUUUAUAAGGGAAUAAAACCUCCCACGUGUGGGAGCUUGUAUGUACCUUAUGAAUAAGCAUCGGCUAACUCCGUGCCAGCAGCCGCGGUAAUACGGAGGAUGCAAGCGUUAUCCGGAUUUAUUGGGUUUAAAGGGAGCGCAGACGGGUCGUUAAGUCAGCUGUGAAAGUUUGGGGCUCAACCUUAAAAUUGCAGUUGAUACUGGCGUCCUUGAGUGCGGUUGAGGUGUGCGGAAUUCGUGGUGUAGCGGUGAAAUGCUUAGAUAUCACGAAGAACUCCGAUUGCGAAGGCAGCACACUAAGCCGUAACUGACGUUCAUGCUCGAAAGUGUGGGUAUCAAACAGGAUUAGAUACCCUGGUAGUCCACACGGUAAACGAUGGAUACUCGCUGUUGGCGAUAUACGGUCAGCGGCUUAGCGAAAGCGUUAAGUAUCCCACCUGGGGAGUACGCCGGCAACGGUGAAACUCAAAGGAAUUGACGGGGGCCCGCACAAGCGGAGGAACAUGUGGUUUAAUUCGAUGAUACGCGAGGA
rnacentral:rRNA from 1 species